rnacentral:lncRNA from 1 species
GCCACAGUCAAAGAUGGAGAAUCCAUGGUGCCACUUUCCCGGUGAUCCCGGUGGGGGAAGGGGUUGCCGCCCGGCAGAGAUUCAGUCCCGAAUCCCGACAGCGAAGAGACUUGUAUGCCACCUGCAGGCCGGGGAGCGGGGCGCGCUGGGGCUGCACCACCCCGAACUUUGUAACAAUCUAGAGCACCACAGAGUGUUUCCAGGUCGGCACAAAAGCGAACGGGACAGGGCGCCCUGGGCGGCGGCAGCUUGGCCGGCCCGCUGCCUAGCGCGCCCCCGAGGGGCGGUAAUGGAACGUACCUUUGGCUGAAGAAAGAGUGCUCCCGGCCAGCGCGGGGUCGCCUAGGGGGUUCCGCGCUGCCUAAUGCAAAGGAUGGAAAAGUUACAGAAGCAGAGAUGGGUUUCAGCAGCCCAGGCUGGUCUCGAACUCCUGGACUCAAGUGAUUGGCCCUCCUCGGCCUCCCAAAGUCCUGGGAUUACAAGCGUGAGCCACCAUGCUCAGUUGGCGGGGGAUUAUCUGUGAUCCAAUGAAGUUGGACUAGAGAUGUGAAGCCUUAGAAAACGGUGGAUUGAAAAAAGAAUUUUAGUCUCCUCCAGAGAUUAUAUUUUGUGUGUUCAUUGCUCUCAAAAACAUGAAAAUAAAGAGUAUUUUAUAUUGU